UACGGAAGGCAGCAGUGGGGAAUAUUGCACAAUGGGCGAAAGCCUGAUGCAGCUAUGCCGCGUGUAUGAAGAAGGCCUUAGGGUUGUAAAGUACUUUCAUCGGGGAGGAAAAAACAAAACUAAUAAUUUUAUUUCUUGACGUUACCCGAAAAAGAAGCACCGGCUAACUCCGUGCCAGCAGCCGCGGUAAUACGGAGGGUGCUAGCGUUAAUCAGAAUUACUGGGCGUAAAGAGCACGUAGGUGGUUUUUUUAAGUCAGAUGUGAAAUCCCUGGGCUUAACCUGGAACUGCAUUUUGAAACUGAAAUACUAGAGUAUCGUAGAGGGAGGUAGAAUUCUAGGUGUAGCGGUGAAAUGCGUAGAUAUCUGGAGGAAUACCUGUGGCGAAAGCGGCCUCCUAAACGAAUACUGACACUGAGGGUGCGAAAGCGUGGGGAGCAAACAGGGAUUAGACUACCCGU
rnacentral:rRNA from 1 species